AAUGGGCGAAAGCCUGACGCAGCAACGCCGCGUGAGUGAUGAAGGCCCUCGGGUCGUAAAGCUCUGUCGGGAGGGAAGAAAUGAUUGAGGGUUAAUACCUCUUGGUCUUGACGGUACCUCCGAAGGAAGCACCGGCUAACUCCGUGCCAGCAGCCGCGGUAAUACGGAGGGUGCAAGCGUUGUUCGGAAUUAUUGGGCGUAAAGCGCGUGUAGGCGGUCUUUUAAGUCUGAUGUGAAAGCCCCGGGCUCAACCUGGGAAGUGCAUUGGAAACUGGGAGACUUGAGUACGGGAGAGGAGAGUGGAAUUCCUAGUGUAGGAGUGAAAUCCGUAGAUAUUAGGAGGAACACCGGUGGCGAAGGCGGCUGCCUGGACCGAUAUUGACGCUGAGACGCGAAAGCGUGGGGAGCAAA
rnacentral:rRNA from 1 species